rnacentral:ncRNA from 1 species
AAAUAUUGAGGACGGAACAGGCAGCCGUCACGCCAUACUUAUUAUGGUCUUAAAGAGAUGUAGGAGUGUCAACCUACCAAUAUUU